CAGGGGAUUAGUGGCGAACGGGUGAGUAACACGUGAGUAACCUGCCCUUGACUCUGGGAUAACCUCCGGAAACGGAAGCUAAUACCGGAUACGACGCACGGAGGCAUCUCCUGUGCGUGGAAAGAACUUCGGUCAAGGAUGGACUCGCGGCCUAUCAGGUAGUUGGUGAGGUAACGGCUCACCAAGCCUACGACGGGUAGCCGGCCUGAGAGGGUGACCGGCCACACUGGGACUGAGACACGGCCCAGACUCCUACGGGAGGCAGCAGUGGGGAAUAUUGCACAAUGGGCGCAAGCCUGAUGCAGCAACGCCGCGUGAGGGAUGACGGCCUUCGGGUUGUAAACCUCUUUUAGUAGGGAAGAAGCGAAAGUGACGGUACCUGCAGAAAAAGCACCGGCUAACUACGUGCCAGCAGCCGCGGUAAUACGUAGGGUGCGAGCGUUGUCCGGAAUUAUUGGGCGUAAAGAGCUCGUAGGCGGUCUGUCGCGUCUGCUGUGAAAACCCGAGGCUCAACCUCGGGCCUGCAGUGGGUACGGGCAGACUAGAGUGCGGUAGGGAGAAUGGAAUUCCUGGUGUAGCGGUGGAAUGCGCAGAUAUCAGGAGACACGAUGGCGAAGCAGUUCUCUGGGCCGUACUGACGCUGAGAGCGAAGCGUGGGGGAGCGACAGAUAGAUACCUGUAGUCCACGCCGUAACGUGGGCGCUAGAUGUGGGGACAUCACGAUUCGUGUCGCAGCUACGCAUAGCGCCCGCCUGGGGAGUACGGCGCAGGCUAAACUCAGCAUGACGUGGUCCCGCACAA
rnacentral:rRNA from 1 species